rnacentral:rRNA from 1 species
CGAGAUUUCUGCCUGUCUCGUGGGCUCGGAGAUGUGUAUAAGAGACAGGUAGAGGAGCGUUCUGUAAGCCGUUGAAGGUGGAUUGAGAAGUCUGCUGGAGGUAUCAGAAGUGCGAAUGCUGACAUGAGUAACGAUAAAGGGGGUGAAAAACCCCCUCGCCAGAAGUCCAAGGUUUCCUACGCAACGUUAAUCGGCGUAGGGUUAGUCGGCCCCUAAGGCGAGGCAGAAAUGCGUAGUCGAUGGGAAACGGGUUAAUAUUCCCGUACUUCAUAUAACUGCGAUGGGAAGACGGAGUAGGUUAGCUCAGCAAGGCGAUGGUUGUCCUUGUUCAAGCGUGUAGAAAUGGUUCUUAGGAAAAUCCGGGAACCUCUAUUUCAAGGCGUGAUAACGAGCCCUCUUUUGGGCGAAGUGAGUGAGACCAUGCUUCCAGGAAAAUCCUCUAAGCUUCAGGUUAUAUGAAACCGUACCCCAAACCGACACAGGUGGACGAGAUGAGAAUUCUAAGGCGCUUGAGAGAACUCGGGUGAAGGAACUAGGCAAAAUGACACCGUAACUUCGGGAGAAGGUGUGCUCUUGUUAUGUGAUAUCACUUGCUGAUUGAGCAAAGAAGAGCUGAAAAAACUAGGUGGCUGCGACUGUUUAUUAAAAACACAGCACUCUGCAAACACGUAAGUGGACGUAUAGGGUGUGACUCCUGCCCGGUGCUUGAAGGUUAAUUGAUGAGGUUAGCGCUUGCGCGAAGCUUUUGAUCGAAGCCCAAGUAAACGGCGGCCGUAACUAUAACGGUCCUAAGGUAGCGAAAUUCCUUGUCGGGUAAGUUCCGACCUGCACGAAUGGAGUAACGACGGCCACACUGUCUCCACCCGAGACUCAGUGAAAUUGAAAUUGCUGUUAAGAUGCAGUAUACCCGCGGCCAGACGGAAAGACCCCGUGCACCUUUACUACAGCUUUGCAUUGAACUCUGAUCCUACUUGUGUAGGAUAGGUGGGAGGCUUUGAAGCUUUAACGCUAGUUAGAGUGGAGCCACCCUUGAAAUACCACCCUGGUAUGGUUGGGGUUCUAACCUUGGUCCGUAAUCCGGAUCGGGGACAAUGCAUGGUGGGUAGUUUGACUGGGGCGGUCUCCUCCUAAAGAGUAACGGAGGAGCGCAAAGGUAUCCUCAGCACGGUCGGACAUCGUGCAAUGAGCGCAAAGGUAAAAGGAUGCUUGACUGCGAGACUGACACGUCGAGCAGGUAGGAAACUAGGUCUUAGUGAUCCGGUGGUUCUGAGUGGAAGGACCAUCGCUCAACGGAUAAAAGGUACGCCGGGGAUAACAGGCUGAUACCCCCCAAGAGUUCACAUCGACGGGGGUGUUUGGCACCUCGAUGUCGGCUCAUCACAUCCUGGGGCUGGAGCAGGUCCCAA